UACGUAGGUGGCAAGCGUUGUCCGGAAUCCCUGGGCGUAAAGCGCGCGCAGGCGGCGAUCUACGUCUGGGGUGAAAGCCCGGAGCUCAACUCCGGGACUGCCUUGGAUACGGGAUCGCUUGAGGAUUGGAGAGGCAAGGGGAGUUCCACGUGUAGCGGUGAAAUGCGUAGAUAUGUGGAGGAACACCUGUGGCGAAGGCGCCUUGCUGGCCAAUUUCUGACGCUGAGGCGCGAAAGCGUGGGGAGCAAACAGG
rnacentral:rRNA from 1 species